UCCACUUUACUUUGUUUACACAGUGUAAACUGAAGCGAUGUGAGAUAAUGCGCUUAAGAUGUCCUUGAGUAAGUUAUAUGGUCAGUCCACCAGAUGGUGCCAGUUGCUAAUUAAAAUGCAGUUAUUAUCACAAGUAAACAAAAAUCCCACACACCGUUUUUAUUGUGUCAUCGUUUGACCCGAUAUUUUUCGGAUUUAUGCUUAUCUGAGUGCUGUGCUUAAAGUGAUCGUCCCAGCACAGGGACAGUUGACAGAUUUGUAUUUGUUACGACUCGGUUAAAAAUAGGAACAAACUGGCCUCAGUAGUUCUGUGACACAGAAGACCUUAUGUUCUGUUAUCUCAAGACCACCCAUUCAUAAUAUUGGUUGGACAAACAGAACAUCUUAUGGCCAUAAUAUUUAGCAGAUGGGAGUCACUCUGUAUCCCACAUCAAAUGUGAUCCUUCAUUGUGCUGGUCAGUGGUCAUUUAUCUGGACCUAUUAACCACCUGGCCGUGGUAUGUUUUGGCAGCCUUGCCGGAGUCUUGAGUUACAUUUACCUUCCUUUGAAACCACACACAAACCCAGUGACUAUCUUCACACUAACGCCGGCGCACGGACGAGGAGGAGGCGACUGUCAGUGGGGAGGACGGGAAGAAACAACAAACGGCACUUGUUAUUUCUCCCCUGACUGAAGGCGGAGAGCACGCUGACAGACUGCUGCUUACGUGCUGAAAUCAGAAAGAUUUGUUUCUGCUUCAGUCGGUGAAAACAACGGCAGCAGAAGCCUCUCUCCCCUGCACCAUGUGACCCGGGACUUCCUACUGUGGCUGGAAUUUUUUCGAGGGGUGGAGGGCGGCGAAGACCCGACCGAGGCUUUAAAUCAAUGCAGGCAGGCUUCGGGCCUUGGGAUUCUUUCCCUGUUUACUCAACCUCAAAUUGAUUUCCACAGGUCCGUCGAGGCAGCGUCGGUGUAUUUUACGCUCCUUGAGGGCCCUCUAAGAAUUAUAGAAGGGCUUUUUGGGGCCAGGUGGCGAAGCCCCUGACAUCUGCACCGUGUUCUUCAGCAAAAUGGGAGCGGUGGUGCAGUGCCGUAUUUCAUCCUGAGACGCAGGGAGGCUCACCAGAGGACGCCACCCGGAUUUGGAAGAAGGGGGACCUCAACUAAGUACAGGGAGGUGGGAUCAGCACCCAAAAAAACGCAGUCCUAACCUCACCCUCAGAGGAUCCGUGUUACUGAUGUAAUUGAUUUUCCAAGUGAUGGAUUUUCAAUUUUAAUUUGGCAGUGACUGUGGAUGUGGGGUUUAGGCAUAUUAUUAUUAGUGUAUUACGACUGUAAGUAUGAUUGCUGAUAUUUGGUCCAGCAAGCCAGAAAACAUAAAUCCAGUAUGACAGCAUAUUAUUGA